ACCCAUCAGUCAUCUCUAACACCCUCAAGUAAGAAACCCUAGCUGCAUUCCUAUUCUCCGCUGCCUCCUCCAUCAAACACCCGUCGGAAAUCGCCUCAUGGCGGUUCCGGUGUCCCAAUUUAACAUCACAGAACCCCCAUCACCUCCUCGUUCCAAAUCUCCAAUUCGUUUCUUUCAAAUCACCACCAAGAAUCUCGAAUUUCAAAUCCGAGAUUCAUGCCCAAAAACCCUAAGUGUUCCAAAUCGCCCCAAAUUAACAUCUUAUAAUCCUUGCGCUCCUCUGAACCCUAGACCACCAUUAGCCCCCUCCAAAUCGGCCUCAUUUUGCUCGAAUCUUAAAUCUAAGUUUUUGGAACCCUAAUCCUCCAAUUUUCCAGCAAUUUUUGGGGCUUUUGAACCCAAGACUCCCAUGAAUUCAUUGCCCUUGAUAAGAGUAAUUUGGUUGUCUAAAUUUCAUUCGUACCCCGAGAACUUGGGUCAAAGUCCGAGGUCGAUCCAAUUGAUUAGAAGAGUAAGCAUUAGGUACCUUCUUGUAGCGUUUUUGUUCUUAUUCUUUAAUUUCCUAUUUUGUUCUUUGACUUCCUUUUGGUUUUUGGUUAUUUUCCCCAUUUUUGUUAAUUGCUUGAUUUCAGUCGCCUAAUUUAGGUCUUCUUUUCUGUCUAUUAGCUUCUUUAUUUGUUUGUUCUAGGAUUUCAAUGUUGUAUGGGUCCAGGUUGUUGGAUUAAAGGAUUAGGUUUAGUUUUCCUAUAAUUCACCUAUCCCUGUUUCCCCUUUUACCUUUAAUUCUUGUUGUUUGUCUUGUGUAUAUUGGUUGUUCUCGCAAGUUCUACUAAGGAUGGUGUUAAAAGGUUAAUCGAUAGCCUAUUUUAGCCAAUUCCUGCUUUCCUUAGUUUUAGCUGGAUCCAUUUUCAUUUUUCUGAACUUAGCUUAGUUCUGAUUUGUGGUUCCCUUGGCCUAAGCAUGCUAGAUUUUAGUAGCUUUUGAGUCAAGAUUUGAUUACCUACAUGAUUGGAUUACUUAGGUUUAAUUGAUAUUAAGCUUAAGAUUGAGCCUCUGAACAACAAUUUAAACUUUAGGUUAAUGAAUUGCAAUAUCAUUCUUAAUCAUUUAGUUGAAGGUUUCUAAUUAGUUAAAUUAUCAGAACAUAGGGCAAAGCUGAGAUAGGCAGUAAUUGAAGGGGAAAAAAUGGAUUUUCACAUAGGCUAAAAUUAGAACCUUCUAGACUUUUCACAGCUGUCCUUGUCCUUAGCUUAAAAUGCUAAUAUUGGAUAAGGAAAAGGACAGACAGGUAUAAAAGAUGUUGUACUAUUCUGAUUUUUCAGAAAAAUUAGGUUAGAAUAUGCCUUUUUGAUGCUUUUUUGGUACACUCUAUAAAAGGAAAACAUUCUCUCACUCACACACACAACAUUCAGUCUUAUUCUCUGCCAAAAAGUUCUGAAACAUAGAUUUUUGAGCAUCAUAAAAGUUCCCUUUUUUCUCUGAAAAAGUUCAGAUUUCAUAAACUUUAGAACAACAUUCAAAACUUCUCAUUCUUGGUUUUUACAAGCUGAAAAACAUGAUUUGAAGUAGAGGAUCUUUCUUGGGUUAUUUAUCUGAGAUUUCUAGUUUCAAGUUGUUUGGUUUUGGGUCUGAAAUUCUGGUUUAUCUGGGGACUGUUGUAGAUGUGUUGGUUUACUGCUACUGUGUCCUUACUUCUGAAGUUUUUCAACCAUUUUUCUGUCAUCUUCUACUUGUUAUUUUUCUGUUGCUGUCCAAGGUACACAUUUCUUCCAUGUUUAAGUGAUUGUAGAUGAAGUUUAAAGAUAAAUACAAAUGGUUCUUUCCUGUCAAUGGUGUAUAUCUGUGUCUUCUUGCUAUGAUUUGUAUGCUGAAGUUGCAAUAGUAUUGAAGCUCUUUCUUUAAAAAUGUAUGAGUCUCUGUCCAUUUGGUUUUAUAUCAUUAGAAUUUGUUUCCUUAUAUGACUUUUGCAUUGGUCAUUUGAUUAUUUCAGCUGGUAUGCAUUUCUCGUUUGUUGCAUUGGUUAGGUAGUAUGUUUAGAUCCCCAUACUUGAAACUUGGUUUGUUCAUUGAGUCUGACCCUUACAUGGUCAGAUUCAUGGAUUAAACUACCCCCUUCUCUUCCCUUUUGGUCCAUUCUGGUAUUGUUCUAAGGCAGCAUACCAGGUCUUUGGGUUUAAAGCCCUUGUUGGUUCAUGAGUUUGACCCUUAACAUGGUUAAACCCAUGAAUCACAACUGUUUCUGUAUUGUUUUUCUGAGCUUUGGUUUGAUAAUGUAGUAGGUUUGUGUAUUUAAAGACAUUUUUGUGAGUCUGACCUUUUCACAUGGUCGGAUCCAUGAAAGUCUAGGCUGGAACAAAGUCUGAUGAACAAUGAGAAGUUUCAGAGGUGGAAUUCAAAUGCUAGCCUACAAGAAAACAACUCCAUAGCUGAUUGUUCUUGCAGGUUGAAGUUGUCCUUUCUUUGAAAAAUCUUGUAAUAGUUAUACUCAAAAUUAGGAAGGAAGUUAUUUUUUUGCCUUAAUCUUUUUUCUAGAUAUAUAAUUGUAUUCAGGAAAGUUAUGUAAAUUUAUGGACUUUCAAC
rnacentral:lncRNA from 1 species